UUUUUUUUUUUUUCUUAAUUUUUCCAACUUAUCUUUUAUAACCAGUAACUCUAACUACACCUUACCCACACAAAUGUAUUCUUAUAGUCGUCAAAAGGUCUCUCUGUGGCCGGGCGCAGUGGCUCACGCCUGUAAACCUAGCACUUUGGGAAGGCGAGGCGGGUAGGUAACCUGAGGUUAGGAGUUCCAGACCAGCCUGGCCAACAUGAUGAAAUCCUGUCGCUACUAAAAUACAAAAAUUAGCCGGGCAUGAUAGUGGGUGCCUGUAAUCCCAGCUACUUGGGAGGCUGAGAUGGGAGAACUGCUUGAACCCGGGAGACAGUGGUUGCAGUGAGCCAAGAUUGCACCCCUGCACUCUGGCCUGAGUGGCUUAGCAAGACUCCCAUCUCAAAAAAAAAAAAAAAAGAAAAAAAGAAAAAGAAAAAGUCUCUCUGUUCCUGCUUUUUUGUCCUGUUGUUUAGAAAUGAUGAAGGUAGAGACUACACACACUUUUGACUAUACUUGAAAUCCAAGAAAUAAGGCAACAAAGGGUAAAAUCAGCACGAACCUCCACCAGACAAUCUCACUGCUAAGCUCGCCCCCAAGGAAGAAGAAUUCUCUGAGUGUAAUUACCCAGCACAGAUGCAGAAAGAGUCUACAAGAGAGUUUCUAAUUUUGUUGCUGAGAACAAAAAAAUCAAUUAUCCAUGCACCCCUCUCUACCCACCUCUGUAUGUCUCAUUGUGUGUGUCUCUGUGACGUACAGAAAUGGAAGGUCAUGUGAUUAAUUUCCCAGGGAUGCUGGAAGUGGUUGUCUAGGGAAGAAUUAUUCAAGAGUGAGUAAAGCAGCAACUGCGAAGUUUGCUAUAAGCUUUGUAGGGGUGACACAGGUUUCACACGUAAGGAAAUCGAUCCCAGCAUCUAGCUGCUAUGAACUAGGAUUGGAAAGCCUCACUCGGAACAAAAGAACCUGCUACAUCUGGCAAACAGAGGAAACCUCUAUCAUGAAGAAUCUUGAGAGUGUGUUAAAACAUGAAUACACUUAUCUCUUAGGAUAAAAGUUUUGAAGAUAUUGACUCAGAUAUAUUAUCCAGACAAAUUCAGUAUUGGAAACUUGGGAGAAAAUCCAACCAGAGGCUGAUAAGCAGUUAUUAUCCAAGAGAAACAUGGAAGACAGGAAAGCAGAGACGUAGGAAAGAGUGCUGGCCAUGGCUAUGGCCGGGUUACUGGAGGAAUUAAAUUCGCCAGAAAGGAAAGGGAGAUGCUUGUAAAUGAGGGGGAAGGAGGACAAAUUAUUGCUGCAUUAUUCUUCCAGUCUCUCACAGUGCUAAUAAGAAAGACAACUCACUAAUCUGAAAAAAACUUGCAGGCAGCCAAGAAGGUCAAGGAGGAAAAAAAGUAGGAGGUCUCUGAAUAAGCAAAUCUUUUGGGAAGUUUCUAGACAAGAAAGCAACCCUUUCUUGAUUGGGGUAUGUGCUUCUAUUUUGGCUCCAAGAAAGGAACACUGUAAUAAAAGCCUGUCACUGUAAAUUAGAUUAGGACAUUUGUUUAUCCAAUAAUGUGCCAGAAACAGAGAAAAAACUGCAUAGGCUGGGUAGAGAAGCACUUACUGCCUUUAACCAAGUCUGAGCAUGAACUUGGGACAGUUGUCUAAGAGGCAAAACAAGACAAAUGUGAGG
rnacentral:lncRNA from 1 species